UUUAAUAUUCAUCAAGUUUGACCUCAAAUCAGGUAGGAUUACCCGCUGAACUUAAGCAUAUCAAUAAGCGGAGGAAAAGAAACCAACUGGGAUUACCUUAGUAACGGCGAGUGAAGCGGUAAAAGCUCAAAUUUGAAAUCUGGUACUUUCAGUGCCCGAGUUGUAAUUUGUAGAAUUUGUCUUUGAUUAGGUCCUUGUCUAUGUUCCUUGGAACAGGACGUCAUAGAGGGUGAGAAUCCCGUUUGGCGAGGAUACCUUUUCUCUGUAAGACUUUUUCGAAGAGUCGAGUUGUUUGGGAAUGCAGCUCAAAGUGGGUGGUAAAUUCCAUCUAAAGCUAAAUAUUGGCGAGAGACCGAUAGCGAACAAGUACAGUGAUGGAAAGAUGAAAAGAACUUUGAAAAGAGAGUGAAAAAGUACGUGAAAUUGUUGAAAGGGAAGGGCAUUUGAUCAGACAUGGUGUUUUUUGCAUGCACUCGCCUCUCGUGGGCUUGGGCCUCUCAAAAAUUUCACUGGGCCAACAUCAAUUCUGGCAGCAGGAUAAAUCAUUAAGAAUGUAGCUACUUCGGUAGUGUUAUAGCUUUUUGGAAUACUGUU
rnacentral:rRNA from 1 species